ACUCGCCGCUGAGACACUUUGGGAAUGAGGAGGGGUGCGGAGCGGCUUCCUCGGGGCAGAGGGACUGGCGUAGGCAUUUUUGCCAGAGACGAUGGAAAGUUGUACAGCGAUCAUCACAAGAGGGACUCUUGAAGGAUGGUUCGCAGAAGGGGAAAGAAAGGUGUUCCAAAGAGAGGUACCAUCGUGAACACAGGUAUUUUCAUGCAAUGGUGGUCCUAGGAACUGACUCGUGGCUCUGGAGGCCCACAGACAGAGCCCACCUUCUCUGCCACUUCCAGAGAAGUCUCCUGAGGCCGUUGCUAACCUCCACAUUACAACGGUUCUGAAAUGCCAAACCCAUCUGUAUAGCUCCCCCUAGUGCCCACUCAGGAAAUCAUAUCCUUUGGAGUUAAUAACAACAGCAACAAAAUCAAUAGCUAAAGUUUCUGAAUGCUAACUGAAGAAAUAUAUGUAGAGCACUUAGAACUUUGCCUG
rnacentral:lncRNA from 1 species